GAUGAAGAACGCAGCGAAAUGCGAUAAGUAAUGUGAAUUGCAGAAUUCCGUGAAUCAUCGAAUCUUUGAACGCACAUUGCGCCCUCUGGUAUUCCGGAGGGCAUGCCUGUCCGAGCGUCAUUGCUGCCCUCCAGCCCGGCUGGUGUGUUGGGCCCCGUCCCCCUUCCCGGGGGGACGGGCCCGAAAGGCAGCGGCGGCACCGCGUCCGGUCCUCGAGCGUAUGGGGCUUUGUCACCCGCUCUUGUAGGCCCGGCCGGCGCCAGCCGACCCCCUCAAUCUAUUUUUCAGGUUGACCUCGGAUCAGGUAGGGAUACCCGCUGAACUUAAGCAUAUCAAUAAGCGGAGGA
rnacentral:misc_RNA from 1 species